UACGAAGGGUGCAAGCGUUGUUCGGAAUUACUGGGCGUAAAGCGCGCGCAGGCGGUCUUUCAAGUCAGUGGUGAAAGCCCGGAGCUCAACUCCGGAAAUGCCAUUGAAACUGUAAGACUUGAGGAUGAGAGAGGUGAGUGGAAUUCCCAGUGUAGAGGUGAAAUUCGUAGAUAUUGGGAAGAACACCGGUGGCGAAGGCGGCUCACUGGCUCAUUUCUGACGCUCAGGCGCGACAGCGUGGGGAUCAAACAGG
rnacentral:rRNA from 1 species